rnacentral:rRNA from 1 species
AUUGAACGCUGGCGGCAUGCCUUACGCAUGCAAGUCGAACGGCAGCACGGGUGCUUGCACCUGGUGGCGAGUGGCGAACGGGUGAGUAAUACAUCGGAACGUACCUUAUCGUGGGGGAUAACGCAGCGAAAGCUGUGCUAAUACCGCAUACGCCCUGAGGGGGAAAGCGGGAGAUCGAAAGACCUCGCGCGAUUAGAGCGGCCGAUGCCUGAUUAGCUUGUUGGUGGGGUAAAAGCCCACCAAGGCGACGAUGAGUAGCUGGUCUGAGAGGACGAUCAGCCACACUGGGACGGAGACACGGCCCAGACUCCUACGGGAGGCAGCAGUGGGGAAUUUUGGACAAUGGGGGCAACCCUGAUCCAGCAAUGCCGCGUGAGUGAAGAAGGCCUUCGGGUUGUAAAGCUCUUUUGUCAGGGAAGAAACAGCAGCUCUAACACAGUCUGCGAAUGACGGUACCUGAAGAAUAAGCACCGGCUAACUACGUGCCAGCCGCCGCCGUAA